rnacentral:rRNA from 1 species
UACAGAGGGGGCAAGCGUUGUUCGGAAUUACUGGGCGUAAAGGGCGCGUAGGUGGCCUUCUAAGUUGAACGUGAAAUCCCUGGGCUCAACCCAGGAACUGCGUCCAAGACUGGGAGGCUUGAAUCCGGGAGAGGGAUGCGGAAUUCCAGGUGUAGCGGUGAAAUGCGUAGAUAUCUGGAGGAACACCGGUGGCGAAGGCGGAUCUCUGGGCCUGUCCUGACGCUCAGGCGCGAAAGCUAGGGGAGCAAACAGGG